rnacentral:rRNA from 1 species
GACGAACGCUGGCGGCGUGCUUAACACAUGCAAGUCGAACGGAAAGGCCCUGCGUUUGUGGGGUGCUCGAGUGGCGAAGGGGUGAGUAACAAGUGAGUAACCUGCCCUUGACUUUGGGAUAACUUCAGGAAACGGGGGCUAAUACCGGAUAGGAGCUCCUGCUGCAUGGAGGGGGGUGGAAAGUUUCGGCGGUUGGGGAUGGACUCGCGGCUUAUCAGCUUGUUGGUGGGGUAGUGGCUUACCAAGGCAUUGACGGGUAGGCGGCAUGAGAGGGUGACCGGCCACAUUGGGCCUGCGAUACGGCCCAGACUCCUACGGGAGGCAGCAGUGGGGAAUAUUGCACAAUGGGCGGAAGCCUGAUGCAGCAACGCCGCGUGCGGGAUGACGGCCUUCGGGUUGUAAACCGCUUUCGCCUGUGACGCAGCGUGAGUGACGGUAAUGGGUAAAGAAGCACCGGCUAACUACGUG